GACGAACGCUGGCGGCGUGCUUAACACAUGCAAGUCGAACGGAAAGGCCCUGCUUUUGUGGGUUGCUCGAGUGGCGAACGGGUGAGUAACACGUGAGUAACCUGCCCUUGACUUUGGGAUAACUUCAGGAAACUGGGGCUAAUACCGGAUAGGAGCUCCUGCUGCAUGGUGGGGGUUGGAAAGUUUCGGCGGUUGGGGAUGGACUCGCGGCUUAUCAGCUUGUUGGUGGGGUAGUGGCUUACCAAGGCUUUGACGGGUAGCCGGCCUGAGAGGGUGACCGGCCACAUGGGGACUGAGAUACGGCCCAGAUGCCGACGGGAGGCAGCAGUGGGGAAGAUUGCACAAUGGGCGGAAGCCUGAUGCAGCAACGCCGCGUGCGGGAUGACGGCCUUCGGGUUGUAAACCGCUUUCGCCUGUGACGAAGCGUGAGUGACGGUAAUGGGUAAAGAAGCACCGGCUAACUACGUG
rnacentral:rRNA from 1 species